GCCUGAUCCAGCCAUGCCGCGUGAGUGAAGAAGGCCUUCGGGUUGUAAAGCUCUUUCGGACGGAAAGAAAUCGCACGGAUAAAUAGUCUGUGUGGAUGACGGUACCGUAAGAAGAAGCACCGGCUAACUACGUGCCAGCAGCCGCGGUAAUACGUAGGGUGCGAGCGUUAAUCGGAAUUACUGGGCGUAAAGCGUGCGCAGGCGGUUGCAUAAGACAGAUGUGAAAUCCCCGGGCUCAACCUGGGAACUGCGUUUGUGACUGUGCGACUGGAGUACGGUAGAGGGGGGUGGAAUUCCUGGUGUAGCAGUGAAAUGCGUAGAUAUCAGGAGGAACAUCGAUGGCGAAGGCAGCCCCCUGGACCUGUACUGACGCUCAUGCACGAAAGCGUGGGGAGCAAACAGGAUUAGAUACCCUGGUAGUCCACGCCCUAAACGAUGUCGACUAGUUGUUCGGGAAGGUGACUUCUUGAGUAACGUAGCUAACGCGUGAAGUCGACCGCCUGGGGAGUACGGUCGCAAGAUUAAAACUCAAAGGAAUUGACGGGGACCCGCACAAGCGGUGGAUGAUGUGGAUUAAUUCGAUGCAACGCGAAAAACCUUACCUACCCUUGACAUGCCUGGAAGUCUGCAGAGAUGCGGAUGUGCCUUCGGGAACCAGGACACAGGUGCUGCAUGGGCUGUCGUCAGCUCGUGUCGUGAGAUGUUGGGUUAAGUCCCGCAACGAGCGCAACCCUUAUCACUAGUUGCUACGCAAGGGCACUCUA
rnacentral:rRNA from 1 species